rnacentral:misc_RNA from 1 species
AACGCACGAGACCUGCGGACCUGCGGAGGGAUCAUUACAGGGCUCGCAAGACUCCUACAACCCUGUGAACUUAACUAUAAGCACGUUGCUUCGGCGGGUGUCUCGGCGAGGGUUCUCCCUCCCCGGGGCGCUAAGCCCGCCGGCAGCCUACUAUACUCUGUCUCUUUGCGUUGGCAUCUCGAGUACAAACAAACAAGUUAAAACUUUCAACAAUGGAUCUCUAGAUCGGAAGAGCACACG